AUAAUCGUUGGAAACGACGACUAAUACCGCAUACGGUUCUUGGAAGGCAUCUUCUAAGAAAGAAAGGAUUUAUUCGGUAAAAGAUGGGCCCGCAUCUGAUUAGCUAGUUGGUGAGAUAAUAGCCCACCAAGGCAACGAUCAGUAGCCGACCUGAGAGGGUGACCGGCCACAUUGGGACUGAGACACGGCCCAAACUCCUACGGGAGGCAGCAGUGGGGAAUAUUGCACAAUGGGGGAAACCCUGAUGCAGCAACGCCGCGUGAAGGAAGACGGUUUUCGGAUUGUAAACUUCUAUCAAUAGGGAAGAAAGAAAUGACGGUACCUAAAUAAGAAGCCCCGGCUAACUACGUGCCAGCAGCCGCGGUAAUACGUAGGGGGCAAGCGUUAUCCGGAAUUACUGGGUGUAAAGGGAGAGUAGGCGGCAAGGUAAGCGAUAUGUGAAAGCCUUAAGCUUAACUAAAGGAUUGCAUAACGAACUAUCUAGCUAGAGUACAGGAGAGGAAAGCGGAAUUCCUAGUGUAGCGGUGAAAUGCGUAGAUAUUAGGAAGAACACCAGUGGCGAAGGCGGCUUUCUGGACUGAAACUGACGCUGAGGCUCGAAAGCGUGGGGAGCGAACAGGAUUAGAUACCCUGGUAGUCCACGCUGUAAACGAUGAGUGCUAGGUGUCGGGGAGGAAUUCCCGGUG
rnacentral:rRNA from 1 species